rnacentral:tRNA from 1 species
UCUGUAGCUCAGUCGGUAGAGCAGUGGACUGAAAAUCCACGUGUCGCUGGUUCGAUUCCGGCCGGA